rnacentral:rRNA from 1 species
GUGGUCCCACCUGACCCCAUGCCGAACUCAGCAGUGAAACGCCGUAGCGCCGAUGGUAGUGUGGGGUCUCCCCAUGUGAGAGUAGGGAACUGCCA